UGAACAGAACCACGCGCUGUCUGUGUGGUUUCACUGUUACAAGUUUCUUGGCGACAUGGGGGAAAGUUCCUCACAUACCAACGGAAAAUGGGCUUCACAUACAUGUAAGUAAAUUUUACUCAACUGUGGUUUAAAGUUUCAGUACUCAAGAGCGAUUGAAUAGCUCCUCUGAACACAGAUCCGCCAUUGCUAAGUUGUAGCACAAGUCCCCUCAAUGAAUGUGACUACUCUUGUUGCUGCUGUACGCUAGUAAAUUCUGAUAACUUGCGAGCAUCGUAAUGACAAAAUGCAGUAGUGAAACGGUGAAUAUGUUAAGUAUACUUGUUGAUGGUAAGUUGUUUGACAUUGCUCGUUCUCAAUUGCCUUUCCCCUGCCUAAAGAUGAUUCCCAGUUUGUCGCUCCCAGCGCGGUUCGAUCCCCAGUCGGUUCGCUCCCACUAGCCAGACUAUCGAGCCCACCGAGCUAGUUAUCUUUUUGAUGUUAGUUUUUUGUUACGUACCCUAAACCUAACCCUUACCUUAAUCCUAAACCUAACCCUAAAUUGCUUGUAUGUGGUAGUGUAUGAUAAUACGAGAAAUGUAAUCGGGUGGGAUAGAACGCCUGGGAUUGAUAGGGUCACCUGGGACUACACGUCCGGGAGUGAUCUUACAUGGGAGUGACCAUCUCCCAGCGCUUAAGAUUGACAAAGGCUACCGUUAGCAUGCUAUUGCGUUAGCUCAUCAACUAGUUGCUGGGCACUGCUCAUUUUUCACGUCUGCCCGGCAUUUCGCUGAUGAACUAACGCUUGGACGUCUUGCCAAUGUAUUUUACAGCGGCAAAAAUGCAUCUAGGCGACGUUGGCAAGAUUGGUGUGCCGUCUGGGUAUGUUGGUUUUCAGUGCUGGGCAGUAGCGAAGCGACUAGUUUAAUUACAUUCCCUAGUAGCUUGGUCGUAGCGUCAUUACUAUGUAUCGACUAACGUCCCUGUAGUUAGGAAAUAAAUAGUUUGGAAAUCAAUGUGAAAUACCCUGGCAUUUGCAACAGUAGGCAACCUGUCCUUAAAAAGUAUGGGCCCUCAAAACAGCACUUGUUGCACAAAUAAGUGUUGCAUAGAGCAGUGUUUCCCAACCAGGGGUACGUGUACCACUAGGGGUACGCGAGCACCCUGCAGGGGGUACUUGGAAAAAUGAAAACAUGUAUGGAGCAUAGUCACAUUGGGAUAUAAAGCAUGAGUCAGGGGGUACUUGUGGUAUGAGAAAAGGCUUAGGGGGUACUUAAGACAAAAAAAGGUUGGGAAACACUGGCAUAGAGCACGCCACCCCGAAAUCAAUGUGAAAUACCCUGGCAUUUGCAACAGUAGGCAGCAUGUCCUUAAAACGUAUGGGUCCUCAAAACAGCACUUGUUGCACAAAUAAGUGUAGCUGGCCUCUUCAAGAAAUUGAAAUUAUGCAUGGUCACUUUUUCUUAUUGUUUCACGUGGAGGUCUACUGACAUUGUCUAAAUAAUGUAGGCUAGUUUAUGUCCAUGUAUUAUAUUAGGACCCAAGGUUAAUGGGUUAUUCUGUUUACCAUGUUUUCACAGGCUGCUGUCUCAUAAUAUGGCGAAGACGAGUCACUUGAAGGCCUAACAGCUCUUAUGAGGAGCAGUCUUGCCAUAGAAGACUGAAAGAAUGUAAGAUUAACUUCUUUGUGACCAAUAUGACUUGCUCAUUGAUACAUUAGCUAUGUCAAUAUGAGAUGCAUGGCGAAGUAUUUAAUUUAUUUGUCUCUCUUCUAGGAGCUGUAGAAACAACAGGGUGCCUGCUGCAGUAUGACGAGGACGCCCUGAUCAUAGAAGGUCCAGUGUCUUGGCAGGGUGAAAUGGCACUGAUAUCGUGUCCUGCAGGAUGCUGUGUCCUGCAAUCCUGUGUGCUGUGCUACAGACGCGUGUGGAGGUCAACCCGAAAUGGGCACAGUAGAGUGAAAGAGGAUCCUGGCAGGGAGACGGUAGUGUCCUGCAGGAUGGUGAUGGGCAAUCUUACAAGAGACCACAGAAAACUGAUAUAGUGUAAGAUUAUCCCUGUUGGGCUCAAUAUGUCUUGCUUAUUGAUAUAUUUGCUAUGUCAAUAUGAGGUGCAUGACGAAGUAUUUAUUUAUUUGUUGUUUCUACAGCUCCCAGAAGUGAGACUGAGUGCCUGUUGCAGUAUGACGAGGAAGCAGUGACCAGAGACCUUCAGUAGACCCUGCUGGCAUGA